AGCUGUACAAGACAAACGAAAUAGAAUUUCGGAUUCAAACACGAUCAUGUUGUUCACUUUCGUCAAAUUUUAUAAAUCUUCAAUAAAUUAGUGCCCUACGAUGACCUAUGACCUAAAGUUUGAACUGUAUAGAAACAAGGAUGUUUAAUUAAUGUGCCUAGUUCCUGUUCGAAUCUAUAUACCGAUCGAAAUGGGCUCAAAUAUGAAAUCUGUUACUCCUAGCAAGUAAACUGACAACUCUAUUGGAAUAGUCCCUGCUGCCUGACUUACAUGAACUUUUAACAAUGAAAAUGUAUUGAAAUUAUGCUGGAGAACCCCGCUUGCUGGAUUUGAUGAAUCUUUACACGACCUUAAAGACAAACAGAGACAACUCUAAUGGCUGCCUAUGUGCCUAUAUAUACCCAUACCUAGUGUUUGGUGAUGUUUAAGCCGAGCGGAGCAAAUUUCCGUUUGCUGUUUUCAUGGACUUUUCCGAGUCUCUCGAUAAUCUCCAACAAACAGAAUGGUUUCCUGAUACCUGGCCGUUAGGUCACCUAGCAGUCAGUUAAACUUAAGCCAAGCGAAGGAAAUCUCUAUGGUUAUUUUCAUGAUUCCUGUUUCUCCAUGUCUUACCACAAUUUUCAAUGUUCCGGAGAACUGACAGUGCCCCGCAGAGUCAUUACGUCUAGCCUCAAAAUACACACUAUGGAAUGCUUCUAUUUCUGAAAGAUUACGAAGGACCACACCUCUCCAGACUCCUGUUCAAUAAUUUUAUUUCACAACUUUUGCUGUAACAAUGGCUGCUGUCUACUGCCACUUCAAAGUUCCUGUCCCACGGCUCUAUUUCUAGAAACCUGCACCCACAACAGCAUUGGUCUACAUUGAAUACUACUUAUAGGGAAAAUGACACUCGAGAUCUUCUUUUAUGUUAGGUAUCAAGGCGCAAGAAGAUGGAAUUAUAAUUGAAUAUUUUGAGAUGACACGUCUCAAAUAUGAAAUAAAUCCCCUAACAACGGCGAGAAGAAAACGAGUAAAGAAGACUGAUAAACUUAUUAAAUAGAAAAUAACUAUAAGGAUUUUUUUAUUAAGUAGACAAUAACUCUU